rnacentral:lncRNA from 13 species
AGCCUGAAAUGUCCACAGGACAGGCAGCUGAUAGGAAAGCCAAAAGUGAUGUAGGAAAAGCAAGGACAAAGGCAGAAUCUCUGAGAAUGAAUUGGAGCCAACACUGGUCUCUCACCACCUCCAGUCCUCUGGCUUUGAUAAGGUGGGGGUGGCCUGCUGGAGAAACUGAUGUUCUUCAUCUCAGAGAUUAUAAUAGCAAAGACCUGGAACCAACCCAAAUACCCAUCAAUGAUAGACUGGAAAAUGAAAAUGUGGCACAUAUACAACAUGGAAUACUAUGCAGCCAUAAAAAAUGGAUUACUAAUUAUUUUCUGAAGACAUGAAGAAUUAUUGUAAAUGAAGCAUUACUGUGUGGCUUUUGCUCUGAGUGGGAAAGACAUUGGUGUACCAGCACUGGGCAGCACAGCUGCAGAGGCACAGUGAUACUGAGUAACCUGGCAAACUUCCUUUUAAGUGCAUCAAGUGGAGGCCUAGACAGCAAGGGCACAAUUUAAAUAGAGUCUUCCUGAUGCAACACCUUUCAGACUCUGAAAAAGGCCCUUUUUUGGAGGCGUGACACUCAUAUUAGAUAAGGCAAUCAUAACUAUAAACAAGGCAUACUCCAGAGGACUGACAAUGCUUUUAAGAAAUCCAAUUACAUGCUCUUAUUUGGUCUUAGUACAAACAGAAAAAUAAAAAGCCAACUUAUUUCA